GACGAACGCUGGCGGCGGGCCUAAUACAUGCAAGUCGAACGAGUGGGGGACGGGUGGGUAAUGCUUGGGACUCUUGCUUAUGGAGGGGGACAAGGAAGGGGAACUGUCGCUAAUACCGCGUACCAUAGGAUGAGCCCAAGUGGGAUUAGGUAGUGGUGGGGGUAAUGGCCUACCAAGCCGACGAACUCUAGCUGGGCUGAGAGGAUGACCAGCCACACCGGGACUGAGACACGGCCCGGACUCCUACGGGAGGCAGCAGUGGGGAAUAUUGCGCAAUGGGGGCAACCUGACGCAGCCAUGCCGCGUGAAUGAAGAAGGCCUUCGGGUUGUAAAGUUCUUUCGGUGACGAGGCGUUAAUAACAGAAGAAGCACCGGCUAACUCCGUGCCAGCAGCCGCGGUAAUAC
rnacentral:rRNA from 1 species